GCGUCUCUCUCUCCUUCCUUCUCCAAUACAAAGUUCGGAACCCAAACGGCCAAAAGUAUUCCCAAAGGCAACUGGGUAACAUUUUUCACCCUCGAUUUCUGCUCAAUUCAUUGAGAAACAUAGGCAUUUCAUUUUAUUUACUCCUUUUCUCCUCAUGGCUUGGUGGGAAGGUUUUGAUGAAACUCGUGUUCUUGUUGCCUCAGGUAACUCUAUACAGAACUUUAGGGUUUUAAAUUGUUUGCAUAUGUAUUAUAUUUUCCUUUUUAUCUAAUCUUUAUACUUGUAUAUUAUUUAGUAACUUUAGGUUUAUUUGCAAAUGAUGGGUGAAAUAAGACUAUUUGUACUAAUUUAAUAUCUCCACCGACUAUUUUGUUCUAUGAUUAGUUGUUGAUUUCAUCUCAUGGACUAUGUUUGUCAGUUCUAGGGCCAUUUGAUGAUGGGUUAUAAUCUGGAGUGGAAAGUGGUAUUAUUUAAUAUAAAGGACCUUCAAAAUGGUAACACUGGAUAACUUGCUUACAUUCUGCUUAUAAUUCAUGAGAUUGAAUAAAGGACCACGGGAUAAAAUAGCCAUGAAUUGUGUUAAAUUUGUACAAAUAGUUGUAUGCUAUCCAUCAUUUUUUGCAAAUAGCCACACACAUAUGACAUACACACACAUGACAAUAUAUAUAUAUAUAUAUAUAUUGUCUAAUUGUUUGUGGCAUUGGAUAUUCCAUUUGUCAUAAAUUUUGGCUUUGAUUUUGUGGAACCUUAUAUUUAUACCAGAAAGAUAUACUUAUUAGUUAAAUUGACGAGGCCAAAUCAAGAAGAUUAGACGUGAUGCUGUAUAUUAAUGAGAAUUAUUGUAUGCUAAUGUACACACAAGGCCUGUUUUUGUAUGAGUAAUUUUGAAUAGCUAUGAGCUAUCACUUCCCAAGCUCACAUAAUAAUCUGCUUAAAAAAGAGAGGUUCCACCUUGAGCUGAACUGGUUUCGUUAUAAUAUGUUUUAGUUCUUGCAGCUUGAUGAUAUAGAAAUGUACGGAUUAAUAAUAAUCUGAAAUGAUUAUAAUUGAUAGUACUCUACAGAGUAGGGUGUUGUGAAAGCUGCGGUAUAUCUAAAAAUUUGCAAGCUUUAUAUUGUGUUUGUGAGUUUGGAGGGAUAAGUCAGAAGGGGGGAGGGAUGAGAUGGAAGGGAACGUAAAAGUCCAGUUGGGAAGGGUUAUAGCUUUCUCUUGUCAGAUUUCUGAGUUUAAUAAGGAAGAGAAGGGAUUUUAGCACUACUGUUGUUGCGAGUGUUAAAAAUGAAAGAAAAGAAAGGAAACUGACAAAAGUUAGGGAAGAGAGUCACUUUCUCUUGUUUGUGCUUCUUAAAGGAGAGAACAUAAGAGAAUAUAACUCCACUUUUUUUCCAAAGCUUUCCUCCCAAAAUUGGUAAGAUUUGGAAAGAUAGUGAUGAAAGACCUAUUACAUUUCAAAGUACCAAAAAUGCAAUUAUAGUGGUUUAUCAAAUUUAGUCGGAUAAAAUAGUAAGGUACUAUUACUUGUUCUUUACUUCCAAAAAAACUCAAAACACAUGAAAGGAAAGCCAACUUCUCACUUCGCAAAAAGAAAGAAAGAAGCCAACUUCUAUUCAUUUUUUCUUGCUAAACUCACGAACACGACUUCCCUUGGUUGUAUGUUUAAAUAAGAGAAAGGAGGGGAAGAGAUUUUAAUAAUUACGUUGCGUUUGUGAGUUUGGAGGGAUGUGUAUUGGGGAGAUAAGAAAAAAUAUCUAAGUGGAGGAAGGGUUGGGAAGGGAUGUCAAACGAUUUUAAAUUUCCCUUGUUAUUUUUAUGAGCUAAAUAUAGGAAGGGAAGGGAUUUUAUGUACAUUCCUUUUUGUGGUUUUAGAAGUAGAAAAGCGAAUUUAAUUGUUAAAGCACACAGUUAAUAUAUCACCCCUUAAUAAAAGAGUAAUGAAAUAAAUAUUGAUUUAUUUUGAGAAUGUUAUUUUUGGUAAUAUGAAAAGUUCCCACCCUCUGCAUCCCACCUAAUUCUCCCAUUUUGGGGGAAAGUUUUGAGAGCAAUUUCACAUUAACUUAAAUCUCUCUCCAUUCUCUUUGGAAAACUCUCAAACAUGUGAUUUAUCGGUAUUUAAAUUACUUUCUCUUAGCUCCCCUUCUCUUUAAAAAACUUUCAAACAUGUGAUUUGGGGGUAUUUAAAUUACUUUCUCUUCCUUUCCCCCCAAAAUAUCUUUUUAAAGUACACUAUUACUAUAUUGUCUUUAAAAUAAAAAAGGGUUGGUUUAUUUUGAAAGGCAAUUUUUGUUAUUAAUAAAAGUCAACUUCCCCAUUCCUCCUUAUCUCUUCAAAUCCUCCAAUUUUUGGAGAGAAGUUUUGAGAGCAAAGUCGUAUUAAUUUUACCUCCAAAUACCUUCCCACCCCUCAUUAAAAAUCUCACAAACUUGGAUUUGGAAGGAAAGUUCCAAAUUUCCCUCCCCCAAAGUAAAAUUUAUAAACAUUGUGUUAGUGGCCAAGGAAAUACUAAUUAUAGAUGUCUACAGAGUAAGUCUAGUCAUUUCAAUUAUACUCUGUGCCCCAAGCCCCAAGUAUUUACAAAUAUUGAAUUAUAAUACAGACAACAAUUGUGUCCAACAUAUUUUUAACACCUGCAAUCAAUGGAUCUGAACCACAAAAUUUCAGUAGGUAAUGGUUCUAAUAGCAAAUUUCCUUUGUUAUCGUAUAUGUGGGAGGUUAAGGUCCUGAUCAUUAAGAAUUCUUAUUUGGUCUUUUAAUAAAAAUUUGCUCAACGCGGUGAUUUACUUUAGAUGCAUAGUCCGUAUAACCUUCUCGCUCCAGAUAUACAAAGAGUUUGUGGAGUUCUUUGUUAGGGAUAUUCAAUGAAGCCUGGGUCUGUCCUUAGAGUUUGAAGAGUGAUCUACUUUAGAUGCAUAGUCUCUAUAAGCUCCUCGCUCCAGAUACACAAAGAGUUUAUGGAGUACUUGGUUAGGUAGAGAUAUUCAAUGAAGCCUGGGUCUGUCCUUUGAGUUUGAAGAGUUUGCAAAAGUUCAGUAUUAGGGGUUAGUUGAGGAAGAUCUUGUUGCUUUAUUAUGUUUUUUUAUCCAUUUUAUGGGGUACAUGGAUUUAGAGGAACCCUGAGGUAUUUUGAGAUAGUCAUCUUCAUAUUCACCUCUUUCUUAUUGUCUUUUUUGGCUUCUCUUUGUAUGAAGGCUUGGUGAACGUUUAGUGGGAUUAACAGGCUGUUCUUUAGUAGGGACUUAAUUUAUUUCUUUUGAGUAUUAUUGUCCGUCCUUAUUGUGACAAUUCUUAUAAAUUUUAUUCUUAUACUGAAGAAGAAACAUAAAGUAAUGUCAAAAGUGAAUGCUUGAAUGGUUUUUUUUUCUUCAGGUUUCUUAUAAUUAAUAUGUUUCUGGUUUGUGGCAUUUAUAUUCUUACUGCAAAUAUUUGCGUUCCAUCAGCUACAUAUUCAUAGACUAAAUUAUGUUUAGUCCCCAUGCAUCAAUUUGUGUUAUUUAAGCUCCUGAAAUAAUAAUUGCAGAUCCUGGUACAGCUGGAGAUAAUGGGGGACGUUUGCUAUCCCUUCGCCAUCCUAAAACCGGUACUGUAGUUAUAUGGUAUUAAUAGUUAAAUAGUUGUAAUUAUGUUCUCCCCCUGCCACCUAUUAGGGACUUAGGGUAAUUAUUGUAAAAACUGUAAUAUUUUUCUUAUAAAAUGUUUCUUGUAGACAGCUGUUAUUAUUGGGUAGUACAGAGGCUAAGUUACUUUAUCUGCUGGUUGGAAAUUUCAAAAAAUCUCAAAUUGAAAAUGCUCUGCACUUAUGUGACAGGAGAAACAACCUCCUACCUUCUUACUAAUGGAGUGCUUCAAGAACUUCAUUGGUUUAAGCAAGCUUAUGGGUCUUGGUUCUUAGGGGAUUAUAUUUGUGAAGGUAAACACAUGGUUUUACAAAAGUGUAACUUAUGCUAUGCAUGUGUAUCAUAAAAUUUCUCCAUCUUGUAGAUAGUCAUGACACAUUAAGUACAUAUAUGUUAAGGGAUAUAUAUACAUAUACAUGUUGAAUAAUAUGCUUGUCUUGGAGCUCGGUAAUAGCUCAAAAUUGGAUGCAACGCCUCUAAAACUCGAAGGAAGUUGCCUAUCCUACUUGAGUAAACUAGAUGAAUUUUACCGCAUUUAUUUUUCAUUUAAGGGAAUUAUCAAGUUCUGUUACAUUUCCAUAAGUAGAGAUGGCAAUUUACAUGGGUCUGUGGACGCUGCUCGACCUCGACCCUAAUGGAGUUGAUUUUUUGAUCGUUGACCGGGAUUUGGGAUUGAAUUGGGGAAAAUCCGAAGACAAAAAAGGGGGGUCGUGUCAGGUUAUGCUCCCCUUGCACUGUAAUCUUGGAGAUUGAAGAAUGCUUUGACAGAGUUUAUUCUCUAUUUAUUUCCUUUGAUUUUGUAAUCUAUAAAUGUUGUAUAUGUUGAUAUUGAUGUUUACUUUAAAAGUUAUGAACUAAACAUUUGUUCUAAGAUUAUAAUGGAAUCCUAAUUUGAAUUGUUUUUCUUUUCUCUUUGGUUGACACCAUAUGGUUUGGCUCAAUAUAUUUAUGCUUAAUGUGUAAUUGCUAAGGGAUUAAUAAUUAAUUUGGUAAUCUAUAAGAAUUUGGGAAAUGGAAUGUAGAUUUAAACCAUGAAUAUUUUGGCAUGUGAUUAUGCUUUGUCUACACCAAUAGACUACAUAAUUUGAGUAUAAGAUAAGAAUAUACCUAUAUGUCAUAUGUGACCUAAUUGAGAACCUAAGCUUCCUUGUCUAUGGUUAAUUCGCAUAGGAAUAUGUCGGAUUAUUUAGCUAGGAUGUUCCUUUCCGUUCUAUUUCCUUCUAGGUAGAUCUAGAGAGGAUAUGUUUAUAUGUAUCUCGGAAGUGGCGUAUGAACACUUGGUGAAUUCUUGGUUGACAAUCCAUCGUGACCACUAUAAUCAAAGGGACAAUUAGGAUAUUUAAAUGAAACAUAGCAUUUAUUUGCGUGGGGGACAUUAUGAUCUUAGCUUGUAGUACCUUAGAUGCUAGUCAUUAGCCAUUUACUUGCUUUAUUAAUUAGAAUUAAUUAAUUUAAUUAACUACCUUUUAUUCAACUGUUUAAAUAAGACUGAGGCGAUAUAAAGGCAGUACUUCGUAGGAUCGACGACUUACUUAUUCUUUAUUACUUGUGGACCACAAAUACUUGCGCGUAUUUUAUUGAUUCUAAAAUCAACCAACAAGUUUUUGGCACCGUUGCCAGGUAAUUAUUUCUUCUAAUAUUGUCCAAUAUUGAUUUCAAUCAAUUUAGUCUUAAUUUAGACGUGUAUAUUUAUAUUUAAUUUGUUUGAGCUUUGUUUUGUUUUUAAGUGUUUUCAGGCUAUGGAUGGGCAUAACUGUCAAUGGCCUUGUGAGAAUACGACACAACCAAGUUCGGAAGGAAUACUUGAGCGAUUGCAAGAACAAGUUGCAAAUCUCUCAAGAUUUUCUGACAAUCUUGAGUGUCAAUCCACUCAGAAUGCCGACUAUCAGGAUCAAGCUGACUAUGACCCAACCUACUAUCAUCCAGAGUGUCAAAGUUAUCCAAGCUUUUCAUGGGACAACAGUCAAAAGCAAUCCUGUGCUCCAAAUUUUUCAUACCAGGCAGAAUUUGUAUACCAACCUCCAUCGCAAUAUGAGGAGGCAUCUAAGUUGGAGGAGAUUCUUUCCCAGUACUUAGAGCAACAAGAAGAAAGAAGGUUGGAGGAUCUCCUUUCCAAAUUCAGCAAAAUGAGGUUCAGAUGACGAACCAAAAUGCUUCAUUGCGAAACCUUGAGAGCCAAGUUGGACAACUUGCCAAUAUUAUUCUUAAUCAACCGCAUAGCAUUUUACUUAGCAUCCUACCAAAGAGGGUGAAGAGCAAUUCAUGGUGGAUAUGCAAGAAAAUGGCGAGGAGUUACACAAGGAUGUUGAAGACAAUGUAGAAAUACAUCUUGAUGUGACUGUGGAUUACGAGGUUGGAGAACAUAGGAGCACUAUUGGGUGUAAUGUCAAGGAAGAUGAAGAUCUUGAAACCACAUUCAAGGUUUUCGAAACCCUUGACGACCCAAUGGAUCAUGAAGAGCGUUUUCAGGUUGAUCUUCUAAAAGGCGAAUUGAUGGACAAGUCAAACAAUGAAAGUUUCUUGUUGCUAAAUGACGGAAUUGAGUUGGAGGGUCACCAACCUUGCGCAAAUGCCAUACAUUGCAAGGAAAAGACAAAUAGGCGGGCAUGAUAUGGUCAUUUUCGCGUAUGAGCCGGAUUGAAAGGAAAUGAAGGAGUUGAGCCGACGACUUUAAAACAAGCGCUCAAUAGGGAGGCAACCCUAUUUCAGUAUCAUUCUUCUAUCCUCUUUGCUUUACAUAUGCUAAUUGUAGAAUAUUUCCAUGCUUUCAUAGUAGUAAAUGUCCUAAAUCGCUUGCAUGAUGAAUUUUAUUAGUUGACGUUUUCGACAUCAUUGUGGUAUUCAAUUAAGCAAGAUUUUGGAAUCCAUUAGCAUUCUUUUAGUCUUGGUAUGCUUGUGAGUUAAAUGAAGUCCUUCUCAUCUAAGUAUCUAAGUUUAGUGUUGAUAAAUUAGUAUUAGUUUGGUAAUAAUUUGAGUUUUGUAUUUUAGUUUUUAGUAUGUUAGUAUUAGUUUAUCUUUGUAUGCUAGGUUGUGGUAAGAUUGUGGUAUACUUGUGAUUUUUGACCAAAUAUUUGCUGUAAGGAAUUGGUGUUUUAUGUGCAGAAAAGAUUAAUUUUUUUUGCCUGAUGCAGGGUCGGCGCUGCAGUGCCUGUUUUUACUCUUUAAGUGGCGCGACAGUGCCUCUAUCAAACCUAAGGUUUAUUAACCCGUGCUGCAGCGCCUCUCGAAGCUCGGCGCCGCAGCGCCUCAACCCAAGCCACCUACUGCAAAAAUGCGCCACAACGCCUCUUAAUGAAGGAAUACUGGCGCUGCAGUGCCAAUAGCGAAAUUUUGUUGAAUAAGUUGGGCUUCGCUUGGCUGGUACAACACAACUCCCCCCUUAUUUCGCCUAAAUUAACACACGACACCAAGGAAAACUAAGCCUAACGCAAGCACUCGCUAGGCAGUUAUAACGCCAAUCCCCAAACUCUUUGCACUCCACUUUCAUCAAACCAAUCGCAACUCCUUACUUCUCUCUUCCAAUUCCAUGUUAAUCGAUCAUCAUCUGGAUACAUAGUCAAUCGCAGGGUAUUAAGGGGUCCAAUUGGCCACAAUCCAAAUUGGGGUUACAUAGUGCAGAUGCCAACCCAAAUCUUCAAUCACAAAGCUUAUAUCCUAUUCAUAAGUAAGUUUCGUUUAACUGACUCGAUUACGAAGUGCAAUUAGGUGUAAUAAGGCUUGGUAAUUGGAUUACUUGGAAAUUUAAGAAUUUUUAGCCAUUUUUUGAAAUUGGGGCUUGAACAUAUACUUUGGACUGCUGUGAUUUUGCAAUUACUUGGGUUUGCUAUUAUUGGCUCUUUAGAUUUGCUGUGAUUUGUUUUGAGAAAAUUUUGGGUUAGAGAUAACUAAAUAAGGGUUGACAGAAGGAGUUUUAAACAACGCAUGCCAGGUGUUCGACAAUUCGCCUAAAGUGAACAUUGGGCUCAGUUUAGCUUGUAGUUGGCAUUGGUUUGUAGUUGGACUUUGUAGUUUGGGAUUGGUUUGUAGUUUGUGUUUCCAGGUGAACAUUGGUUUGUAGUUUAGCUUGGGUUCAAUUUGGUUUGUCAGAUUGUAGUUUGGCUUGGUUUUGAAUUGCAUUUGGUCAUUUGUACAUAGUAGUUGCUGAGAAUCCUGACAUGGCUACUAAACGACAACGCACUAGCACUAGCACUAGCACUAGCACUUCUCGGGCCGUAGCCGCUCUACAAUGGGACCGUACGAAAUUUGUGAGUGAAGAGGCAUGGACAAAGUACAACCAAAUUUAGGCCAAUAAGAGGUUAGUGCCUGAAAGAGGCCUGAGGCCAGAUCAGAGGAAGGAUGGAGAGAUGGGGUUGAUGAUUACCGAACGAAAAUGGGUUCAUUUCACAACGCAACCAAAAUCUGCCAUUAUCUCUUUGGUCUGAGAGUUCUUUACUAAUGCCAAUGUUGAAGGUGCAUUAGUGGUUCAGGUUCGAGGUCAAGCAGUGGCCUAUGACAUCAAAACAAUCAAUGCCCUUUUUCAAAUGCCUAACUACGAUUGCAAUGAUUACUUGGAGAAUGGGAUUCACAGCUAUAAUCUGGAGGAAAUUAUCAAACGGCUUUGCAAGCCCUGUACGACUUGGAAAACUAAUGAAUACACGAGUGAAAAGACAAGCUUCCCACACCAGUCGCUCAGUCGCUAUGGAAAUGCGUGGUAUAGCUUUAUAUGUUCCAAUAUCAUGUCGACCGUCACCAUAGCGAUGUCACCAAAGAGCGAGCUAUCUUAUUCUUUGCCAUUGUUAUCGGUUUAAUGUUCGAUAUUGGAGUAAUCAUUCAAGAAUCCAUCCUGAAAGCUAUUAAGGGCAGUACAUCUGGGGGACUCCCACACCCGUCACUGAUCACAAGGCUGUCUAAACGGGGCGAACGUUUAUUGGCGAGAAGAUAAGAUAGUCCAGCCACCCAUGCCAGUCAUCUUUCAUGCCAUUAUUUCGCGCUUCAGUGUUUGGUAUGGAGUAGUCUCUCAUGUCCGAGGUGAGGGCUACCUACCUGCCACUUAGCCUCCACCUUCGUUAGAAGCCGGAACUUCUACCCAGCAGCAGCAAGAUCUUGCAGCUGGGCCUGUGGCAGACAUUCUCGCAUCUCUGACUCUGUUACAUCAAAAGGCUGAUGGGGUUGCACAGUGGGUCGACAUACAGUCUCGGCGGAUCGACGUAAAGACAUGACCUAAUGAUGCAAUAUCAAGCAGAGUUCGGCACCACAAUGGCUAAUAUCUACUCGUUAUUUGGUGGAGAUGAGGUAGAGUCUAUGCCCUUCCAGUUUCCUCAACCUCCGGUAUUCCCUCCAUAUCCACCACCGUCUCCCACCAUGGAUGAUGGCGGCAAAGGCGAUGACACCGAGUGAUCAUACCCUUAGAGAAGCCCUCACAUAUUGAUAUUUGCAUGCUAGACAAUGAGGGCAUUGCCCAUUUCAAGUUUGGGGGUGUUUAUCACUUUGCUUUCUUAUGCCAUGAUGUUAUUAGGAUGCCAUUAGUACGAUAUAUCUUGCUUUAUUAGUAUUUAGGCUGUAAUGAACUGUUAUUAAUUGCAGCCAUGGAUUAUUAUGUUUUGAUGCAUGGAUUAUAUAGGUCAUCAUGUAUGGAUAAUUAUCUAUCUUUUUAUUAUGAAUGGAUGUUUAUCUAUCUUUUGUGCCAUGCUAUAGCUUUAUUAGACCCUAUUUUGAGCUGUUAUAUUAUUGCAAGAGUUUAUAUAUAUUAUUUUUUUGGGUUUAUAAUUUUUAAUUGUGGCCAAUGAUAAGCAUGUUGUGUAUUGCUAUUUCAAGGAGUUAUUUGUCAAGCCUGUUGGGAAGAGGUAUUCAAAUUAAUUAUUAGUUGAGACGCGUGUUGAUCCUUUCUUUCCCAUUGAGCACAUACCAACUGUUGUGGCUAGUUAUACUUCAGAAAAAGCUUAUGUAGUUAAUUGCUUUGAAAUUUUUUGCGUUAUCUCUUUUUAACUUGAGUGAGUCAAUGUAGAUUUGCUAGUUUUCUGACAUAGCCCACUUGCUACACAAUGACCCAACUUGCUGUUUAGUGUCGCCCACUGCUGCACAAUGCUGCUCAUUGCUACUCAAAUGAGUAAGUGUCAAGCUCGUUUGCUGACUAUGUGUGCUCAGCGCCCUUGGCUGCCGUCUGCUGCUGCACACUGCCGCACACAUACGCCUUCUCCCCACAAAUGAGUGCCAAGGCUUGGCUUGACAUGCUAUUUGGGCAUCCCGUAUGCCAAGUCCGUGUCAACCCAUUAAAGGGCUAACAAACCACCCCCACCAGAAGAGCCCGACGUUCUCGUCGGAGGGUGUUCCCAAUACUCAACAUUCUGUCUCUUAAAUUGCCACAAAGUCAUAUCUCUUUCCCAACUCGCGUCUACCUCAUUUUCACCUUUUCAAUGCACAAGAUAAUCUAUUCUACGAUUUUUCUUGCUCUGACCUUCAGUCCUAUGAGCCAAAAUAUUCUCAACAUCCUUAUCAAACUGCUUUCUGAUCACUGGCCCUCUUGACUUGUUUCUUACCAGCAUUUAGCAAUUCUUGCUGGAAUGGAUUAAGGUAACUCACAUGGAAUGUUGGAUGUACUUUCAUCCUGGCUGGAAGCUUCAGUCUGUAAGCCACAACCCCAACUCUUUUCAUCACUUCGAAAGGACCGUCAUACUUUGAAAUCAAACCCCUAUGCAAAACCUUGCUACUGAUCUUCUUCUAAAUCCGUGGUGUCAGCUUCAGCAACUCCAUGUCUCCCACUUUAAAUUCGAGCAGCCUCCUGUGUGCAUCAACAUACUUCUUCAUCCUUCUCACUCCCUUGCUCAAGCUGUCUCUUGCCUCUGCAAUCAACUCUGUUAUAGCUCUUGCAAAUCUGUAAGCAGCAGGACAAUUACCUCCGGUACGCUGCACAACCACAUCGUUUGGAGUCCUUGGCUGAUAACCCAUGCUCAGCUCAAAGGGACUCAUACCUAUUGCAGAAGAUUGAUGCAAAUUGUAACAAAACUAAGCUGGCUCUAACAACUCCAACCAAUUUUUUUGACUUGCAGUAACAUUAUGUCGCAGAUACUCUUCGAGCAACUAAUUCAUCCUCUCAGUCUGACCAUCUGUCUGAGGGUGAUUCGUUGUACUGAACAUCAAUUUAGAUUUAACCAAACCAAACAGAACCGUCCAAAACUUGCUCGUGAACCGAGUAUCUCGAUCACUUAUGAUAUCUUCAGACAACCCAAAAUAUUUAACAACAUGCUUGAAAAAUAAGCUAGCAGCAACAUCUGCCGUACAAGAAUGUGGUGUAGGGAUGAACACCGCAUACUUGGAAAAACGAUCAACUAUAACAAAUAUUGAUCUCAUCCCAUCAACCUUCGGCAACCCAGAAAUAAAGUCCAUCGAUACUGACUGCCAGGGUCUGUCAGGAAUGGGAAGAGGCUGCAACAAGCCUGCUUUACUCUUUUUCUCAAGUUUGUUCACUUGGCCAUACGAGACAAUACUUGACACACGUCUCAACGUCAUUUUCCAUCUUAGGCCAGUAGUACGAACGAGACAGCAAAGCCAACAUUCUCUCAAUGCCUGGGUGAUUAGUCCACUUUGUGUCAUGCGUUUCAUGCAUGAUCUGUCUCCUCUAACCCCCUCCACAAGGGACAUACAAUCUACUGCCUUUUGCAUAAAGCAACUCAUCUUCAACCUAAUGUCUUCGAACUAGCCCUUCCUGUACUUGAACGAAGUCUUUGGUAAACAACAUCACUUUGAGAUAGUUCCUUAAUCUUGUCCAGGAACUCUGUCUCAACCACUGUGAGAGUAGCAACAAACUCUUGCACCACCUUUCUACUUAAUGCAUCAACAACUGAAUUUUGCGUACCAGGUUGGUGUAUCCACACAAAAUCAAACUCUGCUAAGAAUUCCUGCCAACGAGCCUGCUUAGGGGCCAACUUCUUCUGAGCCUUGAAGUAGGUGUUGGCUAUAUUGUCAGUUAACACCACAAACUUCGUACCCAGCAAGUAGUGUUUCCACGUUUCGAGGCAAUGCACCACUGCAGUCAUUUCCUUCUCAUGAGUACUGUACCUUUGUUUAACAUCCUUCAAUUUUCGUCUUUCAUAGGCAACGAGAUUCUUGUUCUGCACUAGCACCCCACCAAUAGCCCUGUCCGACGCAUCAAUAUAUACCUCAAAAGGAAUCUCAAAGUUAGGAAGCUUCAACAUUGGUUCAGAUGACAUAGUUUCUUUUAAUCUCUCGAACGCUUCUUGACAUCCCAUUGUCCAUUCCCACUUAUUAUCCUUCUUGAGUAAGUCAGUCAAGGGAGACACCAUUUUUGGAUAUCCCUUGAUGAACUUUCGGUAGUAGUUUGCCAAUCCUAGAAAUGAUCUCAACUCAGCAACUUUUGUAGGAGUAGUCCAUUCAAUAAUGGCUUGGACUUUCUUCUCAUCCAUUCUUACUUGUCUUUGGCUAAUCUAGUGCCCAAGGAACAUGAACUCUGCUCUACAAAACUCACAUUUCUCUUUUUUCACAUACAACUGAAACUCUCUCAGCUUUUGAAAAACCAACUUACGAUGUUUAAGGUGACCAUCUAGUGUUUCACUAUAUAAAACAAUGUCAUCUAGAUAGACAACAACAAAUCUAUCUAGAUACUUAUAAAAUACAUCGCUCAUAAGAUUACAAAAUGUAGCAGGGGCAUUGGUUAAGCCAAACGACAUUACAAGGAAUUCAUACGAACCAUGCCUUGUCACACAGGCUGUUUUAGCUUCAUCACCGCAGCAAUCCUCACUUGCCAACACCCAACUCUCAAGUCCAAUUUCGUAAAGUACUUGGCUCGGGACAAACGAUUAAACAAGUCAGCAACAUUAGGAAUAUGGUACUUGUUUUUGUUAGUGACCUUAUUCAAUGCUCUGUAGUCCACGCACAUCCUCAUCGAGCCAUUCUGUUUUUUUUGAAACAACACAGGUCCUAGGUUUCAAUAAGUGGAAUCAUUUUGAAGUUUUGACGGGGCAAAAAUUUUGUGAGAUUGUUGCUGUAGAAAAUCUGAGGGCAGAUGGCGAAUGCAAACUUGAAGGCUGAGUUGCAGGAGCUUGUGCAACGACUCGAAACAUAUGUGGGCGAAGCAGUUUUGGGGGAAAGUAGCUUGCUGUCAAAUCAGAUCAGGGCAUUUGGUGCUUAUCUGCAGAAUGAACUGAGUCACAUAAUGGAACGUGAUCAUGCAACUGAUGAAAAGAUCAAUGGUUUGUCAGCAGAGAUGGCACGAUUGACAACCAUCGGCGAAAAGUUGGAAGCGGCUUCCAACCGAAUUGAUGGGGAAAUUACCCUCGUCAAGCGAGCUGUGUUACUGACAGUUGGGACAGAGACUACUGUGGUGCAACAGUAAACUAGAAUUCCUGAGCCAAAGGUUUACGGAGGGGAUCGCAGGGCCAAAGAAUUGGAGAAUUUUCUAUGGGACAUGGAGCAGUAUUUCAAAACUGCCUAUAUUCGAGAGGCUGAGAUGGUGGACAUCACUAUCAUGUACUUAACUGGUGAUGCCAAGUUAUGGUGGUGAACAAGGGUGGGAGAUGAAACCCGUGUUGUUGUGACGACUUGGGCUGACUUGAAGAAGGAAUUGAAGGGGCAGUUCCUUCCGGCGAAUUCGAGUUGGCAAGCGAGGGAGGCGUUGAGACGCUUAAAUCACGAUGGUACUGUGCGGGAGUAUGUGAAAAACUUCACAUCGUUGCUGUUGGAUAUCAAAGGAAUGUCCGAGGAGGACAAGAUAUUCAACUUCAUUGCAGGUUUGCAGCCUUGGGCGCAGGCAGAAUUGCGGCGCCAGGGUGCAAAGGAUUUUCAGUCAGCGUUGACUGUGAUGGACAGUCUUGUAGACAUGCGGUUUGACAAGGCUGACCAAGGAACAACCAAAACCAAGAAGGCAGACAAGGGUCGUGUCGUUGGAAAUCUUGGCGAUGGGCAGGAGAAGGGUAACAAAGUUGCUGAUUGUGGGCAGAAAAACAAGGGGCAGUCCAAGGCAGGCGGUUGUUUUAUCUGUAACGGACCACAUUUUGCACGAGAUUGCCCGAAGAAGGUGAAAUUGACAGCUUUGAUGGCUGAUGAAGAUCAUGAGGGGUCCGAUUUGGGUGCAGAGGCAAGCCUCAAUGUUGUUAGAGUUGGCAGCAUGCAGGUGCUGGGCCUUGUAUGCGACAUAAAAUAAUUUAAGUCUGUACUGAUCUUGGAGGGGGAGAUGCCAAGUUCAGUACAAAGGAAGGCAUCAAAUGGACUUGAUGGCUAGGAAAAGAUCUCCAUGGUUUAACAAUUAUGGGCUGCUCAGAAGUUCUUCGACGAGGGCGUCGAAUUCUUUAAGUUGGAGAUGGACACCACUCGAAGUUGAGAGUCCCUGAACCCAAAUCCUUUGGAGGCAGUCGAAAUGCCAAGGAAUUGGAAAAUUUUCUAUGGGACAUGGAGUAAUACUUCGUAGCUGCCCAUAUCCUAGACCGAGAGAAGGUCACGAUUACAAGCAUGUACCCGACGGAGGAUGCUAAACUCUGGUGGCGAACUCGGACUGAGGAUGAUGUUAGUGCGGGCAGGCCUAAGAUUGAGACGUGGGAAGUUCUCAAGAAGGAAUUGAAGGAUCAGUUCCUGCCUCUUAAUACUUCAUGGCUGGAAAAGGAUAAUUUGAAGCAUUUGAAACAGACAGGAUCUGUUCGGGAGUAUGUGAAAGAGUUUAGUUCUUUGAUGUUGGACAUCAAGAACAUGUCUGAGGAAGACAAACUGUUCAAUUUCAUGUCGGGUUUGCAACAGUGGGCGCAUACUGAGUUGCGUAGACAAGGUGUCAAAGACUUGCCUACAAAAAUUGCAGCGGCUGAUAGUCUGGUGGACUAUAAAUAUUCCGGUCCUAAUGCUGCUGAUGGUAAUAAGCAGAUGGGUAAGAAAGACGAGGGUGGUUCCAAAGAUGGCAAGAAGGACAAGAAAUCCAAGAAAGGUGGUGACAAGCAGUCAAAGCCUAAAGGUGAUGGGUAGUCCAAGGACAAGAACAAAGGUUGCCUCCUAUGUGGGGGUCCCCAUCGGAUGAGGGAAUGCCCAAAGAAAGAGAAAGUGAAUGCCCUGGUUGCGAAUGACUCGAAUGAUGAAGGAACAUCAGAUGGUCCGAGAAUGAACCCAUUGCGGCAAAGACACUCACUCCACGUGGAUUGAUGUAUGUGUCAGUGGUUGUUAAUGGCCAGGAAUUGUUGGCCAUGGUAGAUAAUAGUGCUACCAAUAACUUUGUUGCAGAGAGGGAAGUGGACAAUCUGAAGUUAGACUUGCAGUAAAAUGCAAGUAAAAUCAAGGUUGUGAAUUCUGAGGCCAAACCAAUUCAUGGCACGGCAGUGGCGGAUUUGAAGGUUGGUCCGUGGGAAGGGAAGUGCAACUUGAUGGCUGUUCCUUUGGAUGACUUUGAUCUCAUCCUAAGAAACAAUUUUUUGAUGACGACAAAGUGCAUGGUGAUGCCUUAUCUUGGCGAUUGAUGAUCACCGAUGACAAGAUGCCUGGUUUUGUGAAUGCUAUAUACCCAAACCUGGAGAAGAAGGCAGGCAAACAAAAGACUGGUUUGUUGUCUGCGGUGCAACUUGAGUUUUGGCUUAAAAGGGGCGAAAAAACCUAUUUGUCUGCUUUGAUUGAGAUCAAGCUGGGUGUAGUCCAAGAGGUGUCAGAUGCUGUUGCUAAGUUGCUGGAUGAUUUCAAAGAUGUGAUGCCUCCAGAACUACCAAAGACCCUUCCUCCAAGGCGUGCUGUUGAUCAUAAGAUAGAAUUGGAGCCGGGUGCAAGAACCCCUGCUCAAGCCCCUUAUAGGAUGACGCUUUUUGAGUUGGUAGAGUUGAGAAAGCAAUUGACAGAGUUGCUAGAAUUUGGCUUUCUGCGACCCUCCAAGGCUCCUUAUGGUGCACUUGUGUUGUUUUAGAGGAAACAAGAUGGCUCGAUGAAGAUGUGCGUGGACUACAGGGCAUUGGAUAAAGUCACUAUAAAAAACAAGUACCCUAUUCCUAAUGUUGCUGACUUGUUUGUUCGUUUGUCCCGAGCCAAAUACUUUACGAAGUUGGACUUGAGAGCUGGGUAUUGGCAAGCGAGGAUUGCUGCUGGUGAUUAAGCUAAAACAGCCUGUGUGACAAGGUAUGGUUCGUAUGAAUUCCUUGUCACCGUUUGGCUUAACCAAUGUCCCUGCUACAUUCUGUAAUCUUAUAAGCGAUGUAUUUUAUGAGUAUCUAGAUAGAUUUGUUGUUGUUUAUCUAGAUGACUUUGUUGUAUAUAGUGAAACACUAGAUGGUCACCUUAAACAUCUUAGGUUGGUUUUUCAAAAGCGGAGAGAGUUUUAGUUGUAUGUGAAAAAAAGAAAUGUGAGUUUUGUAGAGCAGAGGUCAUGUUCCUUGGGCACUGGAUUAGCCAAGGACAGGUGAGAAUGGAUGAGAGGAAAGUCCAAGCCAUUAUUGAAUAGACUACUACAAAAGUUGUUGAGUUGAGAUCAUUUCUGGGAUUGGCAAACUACUACCGAAAGUUCAUCAAGGGAUAUUCAAAAAUAGUCUCCCUUGAUUGACUUACUCAAGAAGGAUAAUAAGUGGGAAUGGACAAUGGGAUGUUAAGAAGCAUUCAAGAGAUUAAAAGAAGCUGUGUCAUCUGAACCAGUGUUGAAGCUUCCUGACUUUGAGAUUCCUUUUGAGGUGUAUACUGAUGCGUCUGAUAGGGCUAUUGGUGGGGUGCUAGUGCAGAACAAGCAUCCAGUUGCAUAUGAAAGCCGAAAAUCGAAGGAUGUUGAACAAAGGUACAAUACUCAUGAGAAGGAGAUGACUGCAGUGGUGCAUUGCUUGGAAACGUGGAAACACUACUUGUUGGGUACGAAGUUUGUGGUGGUGACUGACAAUGUAGCCAACACCUACUUCAAGACUCAGAAGAAGCUGGCCCCUAAGCAAGCUCGUUGACAGGAAUUCUUGGCAGUUUGAUAUUGUGUGGGUACACCAACCUGGUACGCAUAAUUCAGUUGCUUAUGCAUUAAGUAGAAAGGUGGUGCAAGAGUUUGUUGCUGCUUUCACGGUGGUUGAGACAAUUCCUGGACAAGAUUAAGGAAUUAUCCCAAAGUGAUGUUGUUUACCAAAGACUUCGUUCGCAAGUACAGGAAGGGCUGGUUUGAAGAUAUUGGGUUGAAGAUGAGUUACUUUAUGCAAAAGGCAGUAGAUUGUAUGACACAAAGUGGGCUGGUCACCCAGGCAUUGAGAGAAUGUUGGCUUUGCUGUCUCGUUCGUACUACUGGCCUAAGAUGGAAAAUGACGUUGAGGCGUAUGUCAAGUUUUGUCUCGUGUGCCAAGUGGACAAACUUGAGAAAAAGAGUGAAGCAGGCUUGUUGCAGCCUCUUCCUAUUCCUGACAGACCCUGGCAGUUAGUAUCGAUGGACUUUAUUUCUGGAUUGUCGAAGGUUGAUGGGAUGAGAUCAAUAUUUGUUAUAGUUGAUUGUUUUUCCAAGUAUGCGGUGUUCAUCCUGGCACCACAUUCUUGUACGACAGAUAUUGCUGCUAGCUUAUUUUUCAAGCAUGUUGUUAAAUAUUUUGGGUUGUCUGAAGAUAUAAUAAGUGAUCGAGAUACUCGGUUCACGGACAUGUUUGGGAUGGUUUUGUUUGGUUUGAUUGGGUUUGAAUUGAAGUUCAGUACCACAAAUCACCUCAAACAGAUGGUCAGACUGAGAGGAUGAAUCAGUUACUUGACAAUAUGUUACUGCAAGUCAGAAAAAUUGGUUGGAGUUGUUAGAGCCAGCUCAGUUUUGUUACAACUUGCAUCAAUCUUCUGCAACAUGUAUGAGUCCCUUUGGGUUAUCAGCCAAGGACUCCAAACGAUGUGGCUGUGCAACGUACCGGAGGUAAUUGUUCUGCUGCUUACAGAUUUGCAAGAGCUAGAACAGAGUUGAUUGUAAAGAUAAGAAACAGUUUGAGCAAGGCAGUAAGAAAGAUGAAGAAGUAUGCUGAUGCACACAGGAGGCCGCUCGAAUUUAAAGUGGGAGACAUGGUGUUGCUGAAGCUGACACCAUAGAUUUGGAAGAAGAUCAGUAGUAAGGCUGUGCAUAGGGGUUUGAUUCCGAAGUAUGACGGUCCUUUCGAAGUGAUGAAAAAAGUUGGGGCUGUGGCUUACAGACUGAAGCUUCCAGACAGGUUGAAAGUACAUCUAACGUUCCAUGUGAGUUACCUUAAGCCAUUUCAGCAGGAAUUGCUAGAUUCUGAUAGGAAACAAGUCAAGAGAGCUCCGCUAGUGAUCAGAAAGCAGUUUGAUAAGGAUGUUGAGAAGAUUUUGGCUCAUAGGACUGAAGGUCAGAGCAAGAAAAAUCGUAGAACAGAUUAUCUUUGACUCACUCAAGUUAAAAAGAGUUAACACAAAAAAUUUCAAAGCAAUUAACUACAUAAGCUUUUUCUGAAGUAAAACGUGCCACAACAGUUGGUUGUGCUCAAUGGGAAAGAAAGGAUCAACACGCAGUCUCAACUAAUAAUUAAUCUGAAUACCUCAUCCCAACAUGCUUGAUAAAUAACUCCUUGAAAUAGCAAUACACAACAUGCUUAUCAUUGGCCACAAUCAAAAAUUAUAAACCCCAAAAAAUAAUAUAUAUAAACCCCAAAAAAUAAUAUAUAUAAACCCUUGCAAUAAUAUAAUAACUCAAAAUAGGGUCUAAUAAAGCUAUAACAUGACACAAAAGAUUGAUAAGCAUCCAUUCAUAACAAAAAGAUAGAUUAUUAUCCAUACAUGAUGACCUAUAUAAUCCAUGCAUCAAAACAUAAUAAUUCAUGGCGGCAAUUAAUAAAUGUUCAUAUUACAGCCUUAAUACUAAUAAAGCAAGAUAUAUUGUACUAAUGACAUUCUAAUAACAUCAUGAUAUAAGAAAGCAAAGUGAUAAACACCCCCAAACUUGAAAUGGGCAAUGCCCUCAUUGUGUAGCAUGUAAAUAUCAAUAUGUGAGGGCUUCCCUGAGGGUAUGAUCACUCGGUGCCAUUGCCUUCGCCGCCCUCAUCCAUGGUGGGAGACGGUGGUGGAUAUGGAGGGAAUAUCGGAGGUUGAGGAAACUGGAAGGGCAUAAACUCUGUCUCAUCUCCACCAAAUGACGAGUAGAUAUUAGCCACUGUGGUGACGAACUCUUGAUACUGCAUCAUCAGGUCCUGUCUUUGAGCCACUACGUCGAUCCGCCGAGACUGUAUGUCGACCCACUGUGCGACCCCAUCAACCUUCUGAUGUAAUAGAGUCAGAGAUGUGAGAAUGUCCGCCAGGGGCCCAACUGCAAGAUCUUGCUGUUGCUGAGUAGAAGUCUCGGCUUUUGACGAAGAGCGAGGCUGAGUUGGCAGGUAGGUAGCCUUCACCUCGGAUAUGAGAGAUUGCUCCAACCCAACACUGAAGCGCGAAAUGAUGGCAUGAUCGAUGACUGACAUGGGUGGCUGGACUAUCUUAUCUUCUUGCCAUAGAACGUUCGCUCGUUUACACAGCCUUGUGAUCAUUGACGGGUGUUGGAGUCCCCUAAAUGUACUGCCCUUAAUAGCUUUCUGGAUGGAUUCUUGAAUGAUUACUCCAAUAUCGACCUUCAGACCGGUAACAAUGGCAAAGAGCAAGAUCGCUCGCUCUCUGGUGACGUUGCUAUGGUGACGGGUCGGCAUGACUGAGUGCCUAGUGUGGGAAGCUUGUCUUUCACUCGUGUAUUCAUUAGUUUUCCAAGUCGUACUGGGCUUACAAAGCCGUUUGAUAAUGUCCUCCAGAUCAUAGCUACGAAACCCAUUCUCCAGGUAAUCCUUUCCAUCGUAGUUAAGCAUUUGAAAAAGGGUAUUGAUUGUUUUGCUGUCAUAGGCCACUGCUUGACCUUAAACCUGAAUCACUAAUGAACCUUCAACAUUGGCAUUAGCAAAGAACUCUCGGACCAAAGAGAUAAUGGCAGAUUCUGGCUGCGUUGUGAAACGAACCCAUUUUCAUUUAGUAAUCGUCAACCCCAUCGCUCCAUCCUUCCUCUGAUCUAGCCUCGAGCCUCUUUCAGGCACCAAACUCUUAUUGACCAAAAUUUGGUUGUACUUUGUCACUACGCUUUCAAAUUUGGUACGGUCCCAUUGUGGAGCGGCUGCGGCCCAAGAAGUGCCGGUGCGUUGUCGUUUAGUAGCUAUGUCAGGAUUCUCAACAACUACUAUGCACAAAUGACCAAAUGCAAUUCAAAACCAAGCUAAACUACAAUCCAAACUACAAUCUGACAAACCAAAUUGAACCCAAGCUAAAUUGCAAACCAAUGUUCACCUGAAAACACAAACUACAGACCAAUCCCAAACUAUAAAACCCAACUACAAUUCAAUGCCAACUACAAGCUAAACUGAGCCCAAUGUUCACUUGGGCGAAUUGUCGAGCACCUGGCGUGCGUUGUUUAAAACCCCUUCUGCUAGCCCUUGUUUAGUUAUAUCUAACCCAAAAUUUUCUCAAAGCAAAUCACAACAAAUCCAAACCAAUAAUAGCAAACCCAAGUAAUUGCAGAAUCACAACAGUACAAAGUCUAUGUUCAAGCCCCAAUUUCAGAAAAUGGCUAAAAUUCUUAAAUUUCGAAGUAAUCCAAUUACCAAGGCCUAUUGCACCUUAUUUCACUUCGUAAUUGAGUCAGUUAAACAAAACUUACUUAUGAAUUGGAUAUAAGCUCUGUGAUUGAAGAUUUGGGUUGGCCUCUGUGCACUGUAUAACCCUAAUUUGGACUGUGGCAUUGGACCACUUAAUACCCUGCGAUUGACUAUGUAUCCAAAUGAUGAUCAAUUAACAUGGAAUUGGAAGAGAGAAGUAAGGAAUUUUGAUUGGUUUUAACAUACUAAAAACUAAGACACAAACUCAAAUUAUUACCAAACUAAUACUAAUUUAUCAACACCAAACUUGAUGUGAAGGACUUUAAUUAACUCACAAGUCAUACGUUGUAACACCCCAUUUCCCAAAAGGAAAAGGAAUGUCACGCACAAGCAUAAUAAAUACAAACCUCAAUAAAUCCCAAAAUAUCUCCAAUGAAAUUGAACACUAAUUGUCACAUACUCCAAUUUAAAUAGAAGGAACUCCACAUUUACAUAGUCUCUACUAUUAAAAUAAAUGCCAAAAUGGCCCAAACAUCCAUAUACAGAAUAUUAAGAACACCAAGUCUAAUAAUGAUUCUCAAAAACUAAUUUACUCAUUUGAAUCAAAGGUGGCUCUCAUCCCACACAUCCUGAUCACCCCUAAUUACCUGCCGGAAAAAGAACACAGCGUGAGCCAAUUGCUCAGUACGGAUAUGAAGAUGAAUAAAUAAAUCACAAUAAGUAACGAAUCUAAAAGAGUUGAAUAAAUGAACACGUGAAUUACAAACGAAUUACGAAUAGAUCAGAAUUUGGGAGUCCAUAAACAAAUGACUAACACUAUCAAUCGAAUAAUUAUAGCCAAAAGAAUCCCAAACAAUAAGGCUGAAUCAAAUGGUUAUAGGUGACAACUUCAUACUGAGCUCAAAUACAAAUAGCCAAAAGGCUAACAAAAUACAUCGGUAUCAUGAUGUAUACAAAUCAAAUCGGAUAGUACGCACGACACAUACGUCACUAAUCCGCCAAAUAAAUCCAAUCAAAUCAAAUACUGGGUCGACCCAUACGUAUCCUGAACAAAUAUAUCAAAUGGCCAAAGCUCAUACUCCGAGCAUACAAAAGGAUACGCCGUGGACUGAUCACACCGCCACGGAAGGUGUCAUGCCCUUGUGUCAAGAGGACAUACCCGUGGUACCCCCACAGGUGGUUAGCUCAAGUAUACCCUAAUGAUCAAACUACAAAAUGUAAGCCAAAAGGGGUUCAAAUCACAAGGCUUACAUGACCAUCUCCGAAUGAUAUCAAAUUAUCAAAUACGAACAUACUCAAUAUCACAGGAUAUCAACGAUCAAAACAACUCCUGAAUGUGAACAAAAUUAUACAAAGAAGGAUACAAACGAAUAAAGUCUCCAAAAUACGAAUUUUAAUGUCAAUGCCAAAAUAAAACUAUCACAAUAAAUUGGACAUCAAGAAAUAAUCCUGAGAAGUAAUACCAAAUCUCUAAACAAAUAUCAAAACGAACGAAUUAAAUUUAAAAGACCAUCGCUGAAAAAGUACGGAAUCCGUACCUUAAUGCAGUACCAAAAUGAUUCGUCGAAUCCAACUAUCACCCGUUAAACUCCCUCAAUCCGAUCUAAUUAUCAAAAUAAAAUACAAUACAUAUAAUUAAAUUAUGAAUUCAUACAAAUUAUAUUUUCAUAAAUUCAAUAAUUUUUUUUUAAUAUACUAUAUUCAGUUUGUAAUAAAAAAAUAAUACAUUUUAAUUAUAAUAACAAUAUUAUAAUGUUAUUUAUUAUUUUUCCCUUAUUAAUCUUCUGCAAAUCUUAUAUAUAUAUAUAACGAAACUGCAGUAUAUAUAUAUAACUAGAAUCAGGUAAAUAUAUAUAUAUAUAUAUAUAUAUCACAUUUUACCAACCUGUCAACUUAUCUCAAGAGAACAAAUAUAAGAUAUCAUCAAUAAAACAUAAGCCUAACAAACAAAUGCUACAAAUCUAGUCCGUUCAACAACUAUAUUCAAUAUACAAAGUACUUUUAUUUUCAAUCAUGGAUAAUAUGAUCUUGCACCAUACAUGUAUGCACCAUACGAGCACUAAUACGAGCGCAAUUCGUAUAACUACCCAAUGGUCUACCCAUACGAGCACCAAUACGAGCGCAAUUACAAUAAUCUAAUAACUUACCAGCCAAUUUCCCCACUUUUCUUGUUCGGCUGAGUUCUCCCCCCCUUUUUUUUCCUUCAGUUGAUUCGUAUUAAUGUAUCAUGUGUAAGAUUAGGUUUUACUCAUUUAUUUAUUAAUAUUUUUAAUUUUUAAUAGGAUUUAAAAAUUACAUAAAUACAAAUUAAACCCAAAUAGUAUAAAAGCCCAAAUUAAUGUACUCAUUUACUUAUUUUGGUCCAAAUAAAUUAACUACAGUUUGACCCAAAUAUAAGAAAAACCCAAUUAAAUAUUUUAAAACUUAAAUAUUUUAUUUUUAUUUGCUGGGUAUUACAUACACAAAAAUGACCAUAUCAUGCCGCCUAUUUGUCUUUUCCUUGCACUGUAUGACAUUCGUGCAAGGUUGGCGACCCUCCAACUCAACUUCGUUCUUUAGCAAGAGAUUGUUUGACUUAUCCAUUAAUUCGCCUUUCAGAAGAUCAACCUGAAAAACACUCUUCAUGAUCCAUUGGGUCGUCGUGGGUUUUGAAAACCUUGAAUGUGGUUUCAAGAUCUUCAUCUUCCUUGCCAUUACACCCAAUCAUGCUCCUAUGUUCUCCAACCUCGUAAUCUAUAGUCACAUCAGGAUGCAUUUCGACAUUGUCUUCAACAUCCUUGUGUAACUCCUCGCCAUUUUCUUGCGUAUCCACCAUGCAUUGUUCUUCACUCUCCUUGGUAGGAUUCAUUUCUGUGAGGCUAGGUAAAAUGCUAUGCGGUUGAUUAAGGAUAAUAUUGGCAAGUUGUCCUACUUGGCUCUCGAGGUUCGACAAUGAAGCGUCUUGGUUCGUCAUCCGAACCUCAUUUUGCUAUAUAUGAUUUUGGAAAGGAAAUCCUCCAACCUUCCUGAUAUGAAAAAUUUGGAGCACAAGAUUGCUCUUGACUGUUGUCCCAUGAAAAGCUUGGAUAACUCUUAACACUCUGGAUGAUAGUGAGAUCAUAACGUCCCCCACACAAAUAAAUGCAAUGUUUCAUUUAAAUAUCCUAACUGUCCCUUUGAUUAUAGCUGUCACGAUGGAUCGUCGGGAAUUCACAAGUGUUCAUAUACCUCUUCCGAGGUACAUAUAAACCUAUCCUCUCUAGAUCUACCCAAAAUGGAAUAGAACGGAAAGGAACAUCCUAGCUAAAUAUUCCGACAUAUUCUUAUGCAAAUUAACCAUAGACAAGAAAUUCAAGCUUAGGUUCUCAAUUAGGUCACACAUGGCGUAUAGGUAUAUUUCUAUCUUAUACACAAAUUAUGUAGUCUAUCUUAUACACAAAGCAUAAUCCCAUUCCAAAAUAUUCAUGGUCUAAAUCUACAGUCCAUUUCCCAAGUUUACUUCAUAACUUUUAAAGUAGCUUUUAAAGUAAACAUCAAUAGCAACAUAUGUAAAUAAUAUGUAAAUUGUACAUUGUAAACGACUUGUCGCCAUACGGACGCCAUGACGGUCACCUUGUCUCCUAGGCGUUCUGGCAGGCGGUAGCUUGCCGUGGUGCUGUAACAACUAUGGUGGGUGCCAUUUCUAUUCAUAAGGGAGCUAACAAAUUUUUAGUUGACUCUCAAAGCCUGGUGUGACCCUCUUUUAUCUCGCCUUGAGACAUGCUAUUCACAAAGUAUAGGCCGAGUGGAGUAUAAUAUUUAUGGUUGUAUUAAUUAAAAUUAAAAGAGUUUUAUGUCAAUUUUAAGUUUAAAAAUCUCUUAUGUUUUGACUUUGUCAACAAUGAUCAAAUAAUAUGAAACGGAGGAAGUAUUUAAUAUACCAUUUAUAUGAAGGUAAAAUUUUAGUUGUUUAUUGUUGAAAAUAAUAUAUACACUAUAUAAUUUUUUUUUAUUUUUUUAUAUUCCAGUAUUAUCACCGCCUUUUAUAUUGUUUCAGCAUUUUGAAUGCAUAGCUUCCCUACAAAAGUUUACGGAAAGAGUUUGUUUUGGUAUAAAAUUUUGAAUUCAUCAUUGACAAAACUCACCAGGUUUGAAAUGCAUUGGUGUUCCAUGUUCAAGCACAGAUUGGUUCAGGUCGGAGAAUUUGUUGAUUGUCUUAAGUAUAUGUAUUGUAAAUAAAAAUCCACUAUUGUUAAGUGAUAAAAAAUAGUUAAAUAUAUAUAUAUUUAACAUUGUUUUACUAUUGUUUCCAUAUAACAUGUUUGCAUGCAUUACUAUUUUCCUAUUGUUUUUCGUUAGAUAUUGUGAGUUGAAGCUGAUUUCUUAGUCAACAUUCAUUCACUUAUUUGUUUCCUUCUCAACAGAUGGCCGUCUGUAUGCUGCCACUCCGGUUGAUCCUGUUUUCAUUUUGUUGCCCAUUCUUGAGGAAGCACGAAUGAAGGUAUUUUCAUGAUUCUUAGUGCCUAAUUUUAACUAUUCAAUCACAAAUGCUCAUUUUCUUCUCCGCUUGAACACCCAUCGUUGAGUCUAUUUAAACUGUUAUUCAGAUACCUCAAUUAAGGCAGAUAUGAGUUUUCAUUUUGGACUCUGAAGGCGGAAAUAUGUUUUGACCACCCAAACUUGUUUAUUUUUUAAUUGCUUUAGCUUUUCCUUGGAGACUUAGAGAGUACCAUCUGUACACUCGAGAGGAACUGUGCUGAGUUGUUUGGUUUGGAAGGCUUAAUUGCUUUAAUAAGUCCUCAACAUCUUUAUUUUUUCAUACUUGCAAACUGUUAGUAUCAUUUUUCAUAUCUAACUGAUUAAUUAGUUCUCUAUCCGAUUAAUUAGUUUUUAAUAUUUAUUGAUCUAUUGUGUAAGGGUUGCAGAAGGAAGGAGAUCCAGGGAAGUUCAGGCAACUAGAUGAGAUUAUUUUCAUUAAUGGGUAUCCUGGAUAUCAACAUUUGUCAACCAUUGCAGAU
rnacentral:lncRNA from 1 species